rfam:Oryza sativa (indica cultivar-group) chromosome 11, whole genome shotgun sequence.
UGUAAGUGCAGUUGUGGUUUCUUUGUCCAACGUUUGACCGUCCCUCUUAUUUGAAAUUUUUUUAGUGAUUAGUAUUUUUAUUGUUAUUAGAUGAUAAAACAUGAAUAGUACUUUAUGCAUAACUUAUUUUUUUAAUUUUUCAUAAUUUUUUCAAAUAAGACGGACUGUCAAAGUAACGUUGGACACAAAAACCCACAACUGCACGUAAA